AAAAAAAGGAAAAACUUCAGAUACCACCCCUGUGAUUUCCAUUAUUUUUUUUUAUUAUCCAUUUUACUAAUUUUUUUUUCGUUAAAUCAGUGACAAAAUUAAAACUAAAGAGUAUUAAAGUGAAUAUUCGAUAAAUCUAGAUAAGGUAUCUGAAGUUUUUUAUAUAUAAUUUAACGAAAUAUUAACGGAGGAGCUGACGAAAAGAGAAAAAUGAAAUUACGGGAUACUAACUUGAUACACUUUAAACCACAGUACUAAAGUGAAAAAGUGCGAAACCACAUGGGUGGUAUUUGAAGUUUA
rnacentral:lncRNA from 1 species